CCUGAGCCUCACUGGGAUCUUUAGUGGAGUUAACCUGUGAAAUACCAGCUCUCCGCUACAAACAAGUUUCACAUAAAGAAGGUAGAGGACUAGUGCAAAAAUAAAUAUUGCAUUCUGUUGGGCAGUGCUCGAUUCAUGCUGGGAAGGAUCUCACUGCCAUGAGAGUGAGUGCAGUUUACGGCAGUGAGUGCAGAGGACAUCCACUCUGUUCAGAUAAAUGUAGUUUUUAUGGAGGGUGACCAUUGCAAUUAGUGUUAGUGCGGUCUAUACGGAGGGCAGGCAGUGAGGUAAGGGUUAGUGCGGUCUAUACGGAGGGCGGGCAGUGAGGGUUAGUGCGGUCUAUACGGAGGGCGGGCAGUGAGGGUUAGUGCGGUCUAUACGGAGGGCGGGCGGUGAGGGUUAGUGCGGUCUAUACAGAGGGCGGGCGGUAAGGGUUAGUGCGGUCUAUACGGAGGGCGGGCGGUGAGGGUUAGUGCGGUCUAUACAGAGGGCGGGCGGUGAGGGUUAGUGCGGUCUAUACGGAGGGC